rnacentral:lncRNA from 1 species
UGGCCUCAGCUGCAUUGCAGCACCUUGAGACCAGGCGUCUGGUUGUUCCACACUCUUCCCGCUGCAGGCUAUGCACUUGGAGCCGGACUGCCUGGAGCUGAAUGGGAGUUCCUCCUUCUAAGCUGUGUGACCUCGGCGUGUGGUCCUGAGUCACCUGAAUGACAUGCUGAGGAGCGGCCCUGUCGCCCAGCGUACCUGGGAGGACCUUCGCUAAGGAGAACACCGGCCCGAGUGGCAGGUGGAGAAGCAGGAUGCUCCCGGGCACCGAGCGCCGAGACGGAUGCUUCCCGGGCAUCUUGGAUGGUGGGAUCGUGGAGUCCUCACAAGCCAGGACAAGAGGCACAUACGUCCUCACUCACGCUUGCAGAAAUCUGAGCUCCAGGGGAUUGUCUAAAGUCACGCCGUGAGAAGUGGCAGCACCCGACUGGGAGCCCUGAUCCGAGGCCCUGCUUGCAUGUCUGCAGUCUAGUCCGGGGACCGCGGAGCCCUGGAAACCUGGCUGGUCUGCACUGAGAGGUGCAGUAAGUGUAACUUACACACCCGAAUUAGCACAAAAAGAGCAAAUCCAAGUGUUGCCAUUCACAUGAGGGUAAACGUGGGGCCAGGGGCAAAGAGUGAGUCUGGAGAAAUAAAGAACACUGGGGUUGACGGAUGGAGGUCCCCCAGGGGGAGUCGGGGUGAGGGACGGAGGUCCCACCUCUGCCCGGGAGGAAGCCGGCGAGGGCCGCGACGCAGCCCGGAGGCCAGAGAGAGCUCAUCUGCAGCAUCAUAACUCGAAGGACAGGGCAUGCUUUUUGGAGAAAAGAUAAAGUUUGCUGUGGAAACCUGACCCAGAAGGAGAGGAAGGAAGAGGCAAAGGAUGCUAUGUCUGCUGGAAUGAUUCUCUUUAAAGCUGCCAUUAUGCCCAAGCUUAUGGGAAAAGGAGAAAAAGCUGAGAAUUGUAAUUUACCAAAAGAAGAGAACCAAUAGCUUGAUAAAAAAUAAUAUUGUCAAGAUAAUAAAAUGCCCAUA